UCUGUGCUUUGUAGAACUUCUGUGGUCUCCAUUGAAGGUUUUCUCAUCCAGCUUCCUUGGAUACUGACUGUGCUCUGAGGGUGGGACUGUGUGCUGGAACUAACUGUGUUAGGUCUGUCAGCACUUAGCCAUGUGCCCGCCCCAUGCAGUGCUAGAGUCUCUUUGUUUUGAACCUCAGUGGACAUAUUGUGCUGGGGACAAGAGAAGGGGUGGGACCCCCGAUGUGCCUGCUGCAUGCUUUUAAUCUUGUGCUUUGCUGACAUAUCAGUUGCAAGUAUCAGCCAGACACCCACCACACCACUGCAGCUGUUUGUCCAGAGAGCAUUUUCUACAUUGCUGAAGUGGCUCCCUGUCCUUGAAGCAACCCCUAGGGGAUGGUGAAGAGCAGAAGAGAGCCCAGGACUGCGCAGGCUCCCACACAGCGCGACUGCACUCUAAGCUAGGCUGUCUGUCUAGGCUGCAGCUCGUUUUAUGGCCUUCUAAUGAAGUAAUUCGACAAUAUUUUCUCACUUCUUUUAUUAGAUAGUUUGGGUCCGAUUUUAGAACUUUUAAAGACAUUUUUAAAUGCUCAAAUGAUUUAUUCCAAACCAAAAAGUCAUGGAGAGCUUAAAAAUUAUACAGCAGAAACAAAAACCAAGUUGCUUCUUUACCAUGUUUUAAAAUCAAUGGGCAAGAAUUGUGAAGCAUUCACUUUGGUGUGGAAUGGGGUCUCUGGAGAUGAUGCAAAGGAGCCCGUGUCCCUGAGACUUGCUUUUCUGGCAGCCACAAAGCACUGAAUUCCUGCAACUGAGUGAACAGCUGAGAAGAGGAAGUGAGGGAGAGAUAAACAGAGAUGCUGAGGAGGCUGGGGUCAAGAAGUAUGCUGAAAAGAGCGAGAUGCCUGUGUCUUCAGGAGAGCACCCAGCAUUCAAAAAUGCCACCAACUCUAGUUCCAUUUUCACUUUAGUCCAGCCAAAAAUAUCUCCUUUUCCUGUUGAAAAGAGCCAUCAUGAGUAGAAGCUGUUAAGGUUGACUGGUUGUAAGCCAGUCAAAGUGGAUGUAAGAGUGAACUGUCUUAGUACAGUGAGCUGUUGUCAGGUAGAUGCUGUGCUAGAUUACUAAAUCAUAAAGAAUCAGUAGUGUCACACGCCUUUAAUCCCAGAACUCAGGAGGCAGCGGCAGGCUGAUCUCUAUGAGUUUGAGGCUAGCAUGGUCUACAUAGCAAGUUCCAGGCCAGACAAGAAUGAGGCCUUGUCUCAAAAUAAUCAAAAAGGAAGGGAUGGAUGGAUGGAUGGAUGGAUGGAUGGAUGGAUGGAUGAACUAGAAAGAGAAGAGAAAACCCAAAGGGUGGGAACAUGUAAUUCUUUAACAAAGAACCUGCACCCAUGUCUCAUGGCUUACAGUCACCUAUAACUACAGCUCGAGGGAAUCUUAACUCUCUGGCUUCCAUGGGCACCUGCACUUCCAUGGGUACCCUGCAUGUACACACACACACACACACACACACACACACAGGGAAGGGGAGAAGGAGACAGUGUGAGGCAGAGACAGAGAGGAGAGAAAUAAUUAAAAAUAAAAUCUUCUUAAAAAGAAAAAUCAGAAUAAUCCCAAGUAGGAAAAAAUAGUAUAUAUAUUCAAACACUGAGUUAGAUGGGAGAAAAGCAGAGCUAGUAAAGAAUAUAACAUCAUAGGCAUGAUUAAAAUGCUAAUAGUGAGCCUGUUUUGAAUGAAAUAGCCUAGUACUUCUAGAGACACGGCAAGGAAACUUGGUUCUCCUGUAAGGAGUCCUGUUAUCAUGAUGAAGGAAAUCAAAUAGUUAAGAUCUCUACAGGUUUGUGGUGAAGAAUGGAGGAGAGGAUGAAGGGCGGAGGAUGUGGCCUGAUGAUUGAGACAAAGAAGUCAUUUUUUGCUACUGACCUGGCCUGGCGGGCUCUGCUCUUCCUAGUGCAUAUAGUGGGAAAGGCCCAAUGUGGCUCUCUGACCCUGUGCUCACAGAAGCACCAGCAGGACUGGAGGCCUGGGGCUGCAGCCCUGCACCCUGUAGGAACCAAAGCAGGAACUCAGCUUACUGCUCUGCCCUUUAGCUUCAGAUUUUACAGGAAUGGAUGCAGUCACAAAAAAAGAAAAAACAAAAGCUCGUGUGAAUGAUCUCUAGUGCUCCAUUUAGCACCUACAGUUCUGAGGGUCUGUAAGACUUGACAAAGACAAAUCACAGGAUGCCGUGAUACCAAAGGGCAACUGAGAGUGGACUCUUUCGGUAAACCUACCAAACUUUACCAAAAACUCACCGGGCACUCUUACACGCAUUCGCGACCGGCCAAUUGGGUAAUCCUUUGAUCAGGGACAGGUCCAAACACGUGGAGUUGACCUGAAUGAUGGUAAGUCUCAAUUCCCGAAGGGUCUGUUCAAAUUCAGCCGUCCAAUUCUGUAACAUAUACUGAGAAAGACUUUUUGACAAAUUAGCUGCCCUAGUAAAUUUCUCAUACUGAAUGGAAGUAACGCAUAAUGAGAGUUCCCCCAAGCUCCCGACAAACCCUAAGCCAGUCUUGUAAACCUUUGUUCUUUCUUGGGGCUAUGGCCGCUCUGCAUUCCUGCGUGGCUUGCUCAUAAAUAAGCUAUUCUACCAGAGGUGCGGCUUGCUCUGAAUCUCCAAAAAUACGCUCUGCUGCCUCUGUUAUUCUGGCCACAAAAUCUGAGAAUGACUCCUGAGGUCUCUGGACGAUCUUUGUUAGUUGUCCAGUGGCUUCACCUGCUCGGGAGAGCGCCUUCCAGGCCCUAAUAGCCUUUUCAUCUGAUUCAGAACUAUUAAGAACUGGCUCCUUGAGCUCAUCUAGUGAUGAGUAUAGGCUCCUUCUCAUAGAGACCUCCGCUGAUUGAUCUUUUUUCUUUUCUUUUUCCUUCUCCUUCCUUCCAAUCUCUCCCCAGGUAUUCUUACCUGACCUUAACUUUCCCUCGGGUUCAAGACCCUUGGAAAGGCCUGUAUACUUAUUUUGUGUACCAUAUUUCCUCUUUGCUCCUACUCUCUCUCCCCGCUUUACUUCUGAUAGAUUGCCCUGAAUUUCAUCCAGAAUUUUCAGCCCUGCCUUAACCGCUUGAUAACAUGUGAAAAGGAACAAAAAGGCUCCUAACACUAGAGAAAGUUCAAGGCCAAACAUACCUUGUAAAGCUAUUUCCCACUUUACUUCUGAUAGACUGUCUUGAAUUUCGUUAGAAAGUUCAAGGCCAGACGUACCUUGUAAAGCUAUUUCCCACUUUACUUCUGAUAGACUGUCUUGAAUUUCGUUAGAAAGUUCAAGGCCAGACUUACCUUGUAAAGCUAUUUCCCACUUUACUUUUGAUAGACUGUCUUGAAUUUCGUUAGAAAGUUCAAGACCAGACUUACCUUGUAAAGCUAUACUUACGGGUACCCUGUUCCCCAGCUGAAGAGUUCUGAAUUCACGCAGUUGAAUCCUUCUCAACAGUCUGUGAUGCGGGAACACUUUAUUACCACCGUUCCCCAGCUGAAGAGUUCUGAAUUCACGCAGUUGAAUCCUUCUCAACAGUCUGUUUUACGGGAACACUUCAUUACCACCAUUCCCCAGCUGAAGAGUUCUGAAUUCACGCAGUUGAAUCCUUCUCAACAGUCUGUUUUACGGGAACACUUCAUUACCAUGACCCGCAGUUCUGGUUCCGGAAUGAGGGAUCUUCCUUGCGCCAGUGAUGGUAACCGUCCCAGGUUUUCUCAUCCCAGGAUUUCUCGUCCCGGGUUUUCUCGUCCCGGAAUUUCUCGUCCCGGGUUUUCUCGUCCCAGGUCUUCUCGUCCCAGGCCUUCUCGUCCCGGGUUUCGGCACCAACUCUUACACGCAUUCGCGACCGGCCAGGAAAGACGCAACAAACCGGAAUCUUCUGCGGCAAAAGCUUUAUUGCUUACAUCUUCAGGAGCCAGAGAGCAAGAGCAAGAGCAAGAAAGCAAGAAAAAGAACAAGAACAAGAAAGCAAGAGAGAGAGAACAAGAAAGCAAGAGAAGAGAGAGAACAAGAAAGCAAGAACAAGAGAGAGAAAAAGCAAGAACAAGAGAGAGAGAAAGAAAGCAAGAGCAAGAAAAAGCAAGAGAAAGAGUGGCAAAACCCCGUCCCUUUUAAGGAGAAUUAUCCUCCGCCUAGGACGUAUUACUCCCUGAUUGGCUGCAGCCCAUCAGCUCAGUUGUCAUCACGAGAAAGGCAGAACACAUGGCGGGAAAACUGCCCCUGCACGUGUGCAGAUUAUGUUUACCACUUAGAACACAGCUGUCAGCGCCAUCUUAUAAUGGCAAAUGUGAGGGCGGCUCCCAACAGGGCACCUGCCCUGGCACUGGCACACAUACUGCCAAGCCUUUGUGAUGGUCACACUUUUGUGUAGGUUCGCCACAGUAUUUUUGAAUUCCUAUAUAAAUCUUAGAUUGAGGGUUGGGGUGGCUAAGUCAGUUGAGUGUUUGCUGUACAAGCAUGAGUUCAGAUCCCCAGCAUCUUCAUUAAAAAGCCAUGAACUGCG